AGAGUUUGAUCCUGGCUCAGAUUGAACGCUGGCGGCACGCCUAACACAUGCAAGUCGAGCGGUAACGGGAGUAGUAGCAAUACUACUUGCUGACGAGCGGCGGACGGGUGAGGAACACGUAGGAACUUGCCUGAUAGAGGGGGAUAACCAAUGGAAACGUUGGCUAAUACCGCAUAAUCUCGGAAGAGCAAAGCUGCCGCAAGGUGGCACUAUCAGAGAGGCCUGCGUCCGAUUAGUUAGUUGGUGAGGUAAGAGCUCACCAAGACGAUGAUCGGUAACUGGUCUGAGAGGACGACCAGUCACACUGGGACUGAGACACGGCCCAGACUCCUACGGGAGGCAGCAGUGGGGAAUCUUGGACAAUGGGGGCAACCCUGAUCCAGCGAUGCCGCGUGAGUGAAGAAGGCCUUCGGGUCGUAAAGCUCUUUAGGCUGGGAAGAAGUGUGGUGUAGGAAAUGACAUCAUGUUGACUGUACCAGCAGAAUAAGCACCGGCAAACUCUGUGCCAGCAGCCGCGGUAAUACAGAGGGUGCGAGCGUUGAUCGGAGUUACUGGGCGUAAAGGGCGCGUAGGCGGUUUAAUGAGUGUGAUGUGAAAGCCCCGGGCUUAACCUGGGAAGUGCAUCGCAAACGAUUAAACUGGAGUAGAUGAGAGGGUGAUGGAAUUUCCGGUGUAGCGGUGAAAUGCGUAGAGAUCGGAAGGAACGUCAAUGGCGAAGGCAGUCACUGGCAUCAUACUGACGCUGAGCGCGAAAGCGUGGGGAGCGAACAGGAUUAGAUACCCUGGUAGUCC
rnacentral:rRNA from 1 species